UUACCGAGUGAGGGCCCUCUGGGUCCAACCUCCCACCCGUGUUUAUUUUACCUUGUUGCUUCGGCGGGCCCGCCUUAACUGGCCGCCGGGGGGCUCACGCCCCCGGGCCCGCGCCCGCCGAAGACACCCUCGAACUCUGUCUGAAGAUUGAAGUCUGAGUGAAAAUAUAAAUUAUUUAAAACUUUCAACAACGGAUCUCUUGGUUCCGGCAUCGAUGAAGAACGCAGCGAAAUGCGAUACGUAAUGUGAAUUGCAAAUUCAGUGAAUCAUCGAGUCUUUGAACGCACAUUGCGCCCCCUGGUAUUCCGGGGGGCAUGCCUGUCCGAGCGUCAUUGCUGCCCUCAAGCCCGGCUUGUGUGUUGGGCCCCGUCCUCCGAUCUCCGGGGGACGGGCCCGAAAGGCAGCGGCGGCACCGCGUCCGGUCCUCGAGCGUAUGGGGCUUUGUCACCCGCUCUGUAGGCCCGGCCGGCGCUUGCCGAUCAACCCAAAUUUUUAUCCAGGUUGACCUCGGAUCAGGUAGGGAUACCCGCUGAACUUAAGCAUAUCAAUAAGCGGAGGAAAAGAAACCAACAGGGAUUGCCCCAGUAACGGCGAGUGAAGCGGCAAGAGCUCAAAUUUGAAAGCUGGCUCCUUCGGGGUCCGCAUUGUAAUUUGCAGAGGAUGCUUCGGGAGCGGUCCCCAUCUAAGUGCCCUGGAACGGGACGUCAUAGAGGGUGAGAAUCCCGUAUGGGAUGGGGUGUCCGCGCCCGUGUGAAGCUCCUUCGACGAGUC
rnacentral:rRNA from 1 species